rnacentral:rRNA from 1 species
AGCACAGAGAGCUUGCUCUCGGGUGACGAGCGGCGGACUGGGUGAGUAAUGUCUGGGAAACUGCCUGAUGGAGGGGGAUAACUACUGGAAACGGUAGCUAAUACCGCAUAAUGUCGCAAGACCAAAGUGGGGGACCUUCGGGCCUCAUGCCAUCAGAUGUGCCCAGAUGGGAUUAGCUAGUAGGUGGGGUAACGGCUCACCUAGGCGACGAUCCCUAGCUGGUCUGAGAGGAUGACCAGCCACACUGGAACUGAGACACGGUCCAGACUCCUACGGGAGGCAGCAGUGGGGAAUAUUGCACAAUGGGCGCAAGCCUGAUGCAGCCAUGCCGCGUGUGUGAAGAAGGCCUUCGGGUUGUAAAGCACUUUCAGCGGGGAGGAAGGCGUUAAGGUUAAUAACCUUGUCGAUUGACGUUACCCGCAGAAGAAGCACCGGCUAACUCCGUGCCAGCAGCCGCGGUAAUACGGAGGGUGCAAGCGUUAAUCGGAAUUACUGGGCGUAAAGCGCACGCAGGCGGUCUGUCAAGUCGGAUGUGAAAUCCCCGGGCUCAACCUGGGAACUGCAUUCGAAACUGGCAGGCUUAGAGUCUUGUAGAGGGGGGUAGAAUUCCAGGUGUAGCGGUGAAAUGCGUAGAGAUCUGGGAGGAAUACCGGUGGCGAAGGCGGGCCCCCUGGACAAAGACUGACGCUCAGGUGCGAAAGCGUGGGGAGCAAACAGGAUUAGAUACCCUGGUAGUCCACGCCGUAAACGAUGUCGAUUUGGAGGUUGUGCCCUUGAGGCGUGGCUUCCGGAGCUAACGCGUUAAAUCGACCGCCUGGGGAGUACGGCCGCAAGGUUAAAACUCAAAUGAAUUGACGGGGGCCCGCACAAGCGGUGGAGCAUGUGGUUUAAAUUCGAUGCAACGCGAAGAACCUUUACCUGGUCUUGACAUCCACAGAACUUUUCCAGAGAUGGAUUGGUGCCUUCGGGAUCUGUGAGACAGGUGCUGCAUGGCUGUCGUCAGCUCGUGUUGUGAAAUGUUGGGUUAAGUCCCGCAACGAGCGCAACCCUUAUCCUUUGUUGCCAGCGGUUCGGCCGGGAACUCAAAGGAGACUGCCAGUGAUAAACUGGAGGAAGGUGGGGAUGACGUCAAGUCAUCAUGGCCCUUACGACCAGGGCUACACACGUGCUACAAUGGCAUAUACAAAGAGAAGCGACCUCGCGAGAGCAAGCGGACCUCAUAAAGUAUGUCGUAGUCCGGAUUGGAGUCUGCAACUCGACUCCAUGAAGUCGGAAUCGCUAGUAAUCGUAGAUCAGAAUGCUACGGUGAAUACGUUCCCGGGCCUUGUACACACCGCCCGUCACACCAUGGGAGUGGGUUGCAAAAGAAGUAGGUAGCUUAACCUUCGGGAGGGCGCUUACCACUUUGUGAUUCAUGACUGGG